rnacentral:lncRNA from 10 species
GAUGGAGGUGAAGUUCCCAGGUCAAUGGAGUUGUGUAUCUAGGAGGAUUAUGUCUGCCUCUGCUGAGUCAUGCAAGCUGUCAGGGAAGCCAGGGAAAGCUGGCAGUCACAGGCUUCACCCAGCUCCCAAAUAGACUGAAGGGCCAGUCUCAUUCCCAUAGUGCCGCCGCAAUAGCCCUGAGUCUGUUUCCAGGAGGUGGAUCAGCUGGCCUUGAAAACUUGCCCCAGGCUACCUGCCUCCCAGCUGCAAAAGAAAAAGCCUUGGUUCUUCCCCUGCCUGUGGAGUGUGCACACCAGAUUCUCACCCUACUUCGAGUUCUGGCCAGGAGGCUUCUCACCCCGUUGAAAUUGUUACAAAGUUCAGCUGGAGAUUUCCUUCUCCCUGGUGUUCCUUGCCCACUCCUCUGGCCACCCUCCCAGUGGAUCCUUCUGGUGCCAGAAAGGAAUGGCCUGCUUGGGGACACAGUGAGCUCCCAGGGCCUUCCUGCUGCUUCCUCUACCCCUGUACUUUGCUCGGCUCUUUAAAUUGACUCAGUUCCAGCAAGCUUACCAACUAGGAAUAAAGAAAGGAAAAUCUAAGAAAGCAAGACUGGAGAAGCUGAGUAAGAGAAUAACCAAUCAGAAGUGGCUUAAAC